CCCCCCCAUCUUUCCUUAUUCUCCCUCUCCCCCACCCCCUACCUCAGUUGUAGCGUGGCCGAGCCCUCUAUUGGUCCGCAGGUACAGGGAGCUAUUGUGUCCUGUACCCAGCCGGACUAAUAGGAAGUGCACUUCCUGUUAGUCCGGCUGGGUACAGGAGAGAGAUGCUCCCUGUACCUGCGGACCAUGAUACAGGGCUCGGCCACGCUACAGGGAGGGAGUGACAGGAGGGAGCGCUGAGUGCUUCCCUCCUGUCAGCCCCUCUCCUCAGGCUGCGCUCGGGCGGCUGCAGCAUGAGGGGGGCCGGCGCUCCUGGCGGCGCCCCCUCCCAAGGCACCCCCACCCUGUUGGCACCCGGGGUGGACAGCCCCCUCCACCCCCCCCUUAGUACGCCACUGCCCCCAAAAAUACAUCACCCCUGACACAUUACCUGUCAAGAAGUCAUUAAAAUAAAACGUUUACACAUAGUUGAAAGGGUGUAACAUGUAAAUAACAUUUUUAAAGAAUUAUUUAUAGUUUUAGUAUAUAUUUCACAUACACUAAAUCUUGUGCCAAUACUGCAUGCUGAAUUGUGGUGUUUUAUUUACAAUAAUAGCCCUUUCACUGUCAAGCACUUAACAACAACAACAAAAACAGAAUUGUGGUGUCAAUUCUAGUAAUUCAUUUUUUUUUAUUUUUUUUUAAUGCUUCAUGAAUAAGCACCUUUAACACAUGUCAAGGUAACUUCAUUUAUCUGUGUUUACCAACUUCUGAACUUUUUAAUGGAGAAUAUUAAUAAAAAAAUAUACUAUUUUUAA